rnacentral:tRNA from 1 species
GGAUGUAUAGUUUAAUGAUAGAGAAUUAUAGUCUCCAAAACUAUAGAUGUGGGUUCAAGUCCUACUGCAUCCA